UGGGGAAUCUUGGUCAAUGGGCGCAAGCCUGAACCAGCGACGCCGCGUGGGUGAUGAAGGCCUUCGGGUUGUAAAGCCCUGUGGAGAGGGACGAAAAAGCUGCGAGCGAACAGGUCGCGGUCUUGACGGUACCUCUUUAGCAAGCACCGGCUAACUCUGUGCCAGCAGCCGCGGUAAGACAGAGGGUGCAAACGUUGCUCGGAAUUACUGGGCGUAAAGCGGGUGUAGGCGGAUCGGUGGGUCGGAUGG
rnacentral:rRNA from 1 species